rnacentral:rRNA from 1 species
ACGAACGCUGGCGGCGUGCUUAACACAUGCAAGUCGAACGGAAAGGCCCUGCUUUUGUGGGGUGCUCGAGUGGCGAACGGGUGAGUAACACGUGAAUAACCUGCCCUUGACUUUGGGAUAACUUCAGGAAACUGGGGCUAAUACCGGAUAGGAGCUCCUGCUGCAUGGUGGGGGUUGGAAAGUUUCGGCGGUUGGGGAUGGACUCGCGGCUUAUCAGCUUGUUGGUGGGGUAGUGGCUUACCAAGGCUUUGACGGGUAGCCGGCCUGAGAGGGUGACCGGCCACAUUGGGACUGAGAUACGGCCCAGACUCCUACGGGAGGCAGCAGUGGGGAAUAUUGCACAAUGGGCGGAAGCCUGAUGCAGCAACGCCGCGUGCGGGAUGACGGCCUUCGGGUUGUAAACCGCUUUCGCCUGUGACGAAGCGUGAGUGACGGUAAUGGGUAAAGAAGCACCGGCUAACUACGUG